rnacentral:misc_RNA from 1 species
GAUGAAGAACGCAGCGAAAUGCGAUACGUAAUGUGAAUUGCAGAAUUCAGUGAAUCAUCGAAUCUUUGAACGCACAUUGCGCCCGCCAGUAUUCUGGCGGGCAUGCCUGUUCGAGCGUCAUUUCAACCAUCAAGCCCCCGGCUUGUGUUGGGGACCUGCGGCUGCCGCAGGCCCUGAAAACCAGUGGCGGGCUCGCUAGUCACUCCGAGCGUAGUAAUACAUCUCGCUCAGGGCGUGCUGCGGGUUCCGGCCGUUAAAAAGCCUUAUUUACCCAAGGUUGACCUCGGAUCAGGUAGGAAGACCCGCUGAACUUAAGCAUAUCAAUAAGCGGAGGA